rnacentral:lncRNA from 1 species
UUGAUUCAAUUGAACUUAAAUUUUUUUCAGUGUAUUGUUCGACUUGUUAACUCGAAGAUAAUAUUGUCAAAUAACCCAAACAAACUAAAACUCAGUAAUAAGUAAAUUUAUUUAAAAAAAAAAAAAAGAAUUAGAAGCGAUUAAGUAGUUGAUUUACGCUUCGUACAAAAUGCUUGAUGUUUAUGAUUAUAAGUAUAUAGUUUGCGACAGUAUAAAGUAACGAGGAGGACUAUUCUACGAACAUAAACCCAUGCCAGUGAAACGACGACACUUGUACAACAUGAUUUAUACACCUUAGGUUACAUACUAGAAAAACGAUAAUUGGCUGGGAGCACACAGAUAUUAAUUUACGUCUAAUGGAAGAUUUAUUGAUGGUUAAGAAACGUCGAUGCAGAUCGCUAAUUUU